rnacentral:misc_RNA from 1 species
GAUGAAGAACGCAGUGAAAUGCGAUAAGUAAUGUGAAUUGCAGAAUUCAGUGAACCAUCGAAUCUUUGAACGCACAUUGCGCCCGGCAGUAAUCUGCCGGGCAUGCCUGUCCGAGCGUCAUUUCUCCCCUCGAGCGCAGCUUUCCCCCCCGGGGGAGGGCCGCGCCCGGUGUUGGGGCGCUACGGAGGAGCCCAGCGCUCCCCCGUAGGCCCCGAAAUGUAGUGGCGGUCCCGCCGCGGCGCCCCCUGCGUAGUAGUUUUACAACUCGCAUCGGGUCCCGGCGGAGGCCAGCCGUCAAACCCCCCAACUUCAAUAGUUCGACCUCGGAUCAGGUAGGGUUACCCGCUGAACUUAAGCAUAUCAAUAAGCGGAGGA